UUUGAUAUGUUGCCAAGUUCUUCUCUUCAAU
rnacentral:sRNA from 1 species